AUUGAACGCUAGCGGGAUGCUUUACACAUGCAAGUCGAACGAGUGGCGGACGGGUGAGUAAUAUCUCGGAACGUGCCCAGUAGCGGGGGAUAACUACUGGAAAGGGUGGCUAAUACCGCAUACUAUCGGAACUGCCCAUAUCGGAUUAGCUUGUUGGUGGGGUAAAGGCUCACCAAGGCGACGAUCCGUAGCUGGUUUGAGAGGACGACCAGCCACACUGGAACUGAGACCCGGCCCAGACUCCUACGGGAGGCAGCAGUGGGGAAUUUUGGACAAUGGGGGAAACCCUGAUGCAGCCAUCCCGCGUGUAUGAGAAGGCCUUCGGGUUGUAAAGUACUUUUGGCGGAGAAGCGGUAUCUGCAGAAUAAGCACCGGCUAACUACGUGCCAGCAGCCGCGGUAAUUC
rnacentral:rRNA from 1 species